CUCGCUCGCUCGCUGUCCCUCGGGGACCUCAUGUGCCAGACUGCCUACCCACCGCAGUCGGCACUGUGCAGAAGCGCUGCUGUUGGGCGUGCGGCUGUGUGCAAGUGAGGAAGUGCCAGCUCCGAGAGAUGGAUUCACUUGUCGGAGGUCACACAGCAAGAAGGUUAUCAAGAUUUGCUUGGAACGGCUCCCUCUGCACUGCUGUGUGCUGAUCUGACCCAAACCUGGCCCACCGUGAGGGCUCAAAAACAUUGACUUUUCAAAUGCCAGGCCAAAUUCAAGGUCGAAAUCACAUCGCAACUGCCUGGUGCGAUCUCUGCGCCACCCCUCGCUCUGUCCUGAGUAAAUAUUUGCUCUCUAGACGCCA